rnacentral:misc_RNA from 1 species
AAGUCGUAACAAGGUUUCCGUAGGUGAACCUGCGGAAGGAUCAUUAUCGAGUUAGGGUCCUCUGGGCCCGACCUCCAACCCCGUGUUUAAUUACCAUGUUGCUUCGGCGGGCCCGUCUCACGACCGCCGGGGGUCUCCGGACCUUUGGCCAGUGCCCGUCGGUGGCCCCCUUUAAAUUCAUGAACAAAUCGUGUCGUCUGAGUUAUAAAUUUAAUAGUUAAAAAACUUUCAACAACGGAUCUCUUGGUUCUG